GCGAUUCGCCAUUAAAAGAAGAAGAAGAAGACGACGACGACAUUGAACCCUCCUUGACACGGAGUUCCUCGAGCAACGAUGCCAGGUGGAUCCACAAAAAGACAGUGCCCCCAUUGUUUGGAAAAAUCAAACUGCGCAAAUCGUAGAUGCACAAAGUGUGGGAAGAUGUUGGAGCUGAAAUCAAGGCACACGGCCCGUAUGAAGGAUUUCCGGCAGAAAGCAAAAGACUGGACCCAAAAAGUACAC